UUGAACGCUGGCGGCAUGCUUUACACAUGCAAGUCGAACGGUAACAGGGUGCUUGCACCGCUGACGAGUGGCGAACGGGUGAGUAAUAUAUUGGAACGUACCUAGUAAUGGGGGAUAACUAUCCGAAAGGAUAGCUAAUACCGCAUACGCCCUGAGGGGGAAAGAGGGGGAUCGCAAGACCUCUCGUUAUUAGAGCGGCCGAUAUCAGAUUAGCUAGUUGGUGAGGUAAAGGCUCACCAAGGCAACGAUCUGUAGCGGGUCUUAGAGGACGAUCCGCCACACUGGAACUGAGACACGGUCCAGACUCCUACGGGAGGCAGCAGUGGUGAAUCUUGGACAAUGGGCGCAAGCCUGAUCCAGCAAUGCCGCGUGCGUGAAGAAGGCCUUCGGGUUGUAAAGCUCUUUCAGACGGAAAGAAAUCGGGCGCGUGAAUAGCGUGCCUGGAUGACGGUACUGUCAGAAGAAGCACCGGCUAACUACGU
rnacentral:rRNA from 1 species